rnacentral:tRNA from 1 species
GAGACUUUAGUUAAAUAUAUAAUGACAGACUGUCAGCCUGUAGUAGCAUAAUGCAAGUCUUU